rnacentral:rRNA from 2 species
AGAGUUUGAUCCUGGCUCAGGAUGAACGCUGGCGGCGUGCCUAAUACAUGCAAGUCGAGCGAACGGACGAGAAGCUUGCUUUUCUGAUGUUAGCGGCGGACGGGUGAGUAACACGUGGAUAACCUACCUAUAAGACUGGGAUAACUUCGGGAAACCGGAGCUAAUACCGGAUAAUAUUUUGAACCGCAUGGUUCAAAAGUGAAAGACGGUCUUGCUGUCACUUAUAGAUGGAUCCGCGCUGCAUUAGCUAGUUGGUAAGGUAACGGCUUACCAAGGCAACGAUGCAUAGCCGACCUGAGAGGGUGAUCGGCCACACUGGAACUGAGACACGGUCCAGACUCCUACGGGAGGCAGCAGUAGGGAAUCUUCCGCAAUGGGCGAAAGCCUGACGGAGCAACGCCGCGUGAGUGAUGAAGGUCUUCGGAUCGUAAAACUCUGUUAUUAGGGAAGAACAUAUGUGUAAGUAACUGUGCACAUCUUGACGGUACCUAAUCAGAAAGCCACGGCUAACUACGUGCCAGCAGCCGCGGUAAUACGUAGGUGGCAAGCGUUAUCCGGAAUUAUUGGGCGUAAAGCGCGCGUAGGCGGUUUUUUAAGUCUGAUGUGAAAGCCCACGGCUCAACCGUGGAGGGUCAUUGGAAACUGGAAAACUUGAGUGCAGAAGAGGAAAGUGGAAUUCCAUGUGUAGCGGUGAAAUGCGCAGAGAUAUGGAGGAACACCAGUGGCGAAGGCGACUUUCUGGUCUGUAACUGACGCUGAUGUGCGAAAGCGUGGGGAUCAAACAGGAUUAGAUACCCUGGUAGUCCACGCCGUAAACGAUGAGUGCUAAGUGUUAGGGGGUUUCCGCCCCUUAGUGCUGCAGCUAACGCAUUAAGCACUCCGCCUGGGGAGUACGACCGCAAGGUUGAAACUCAAAGGAAUUGACGGGGACCCGCACAAGCGGUGGAGCAUGUGGUUUAAUUCGAAGCAACGCGAAGAACCUUACCAAAUCUUGACAUCCUUUGACAACUCUAGAGAUAGAGCUUUCCCCUUCGGGGGACAAAGUGACAGGUGGUGCAUGGUUGUCGUCAGCUCGUGUCGUGAGAUGUUGGGUUAAGUCCCGCAACGAGCGCAACCCUUAAGCUUAGUUGCCAUCAUUAAGUUGGGCACUCUAAGUUGACUGCCGGUGACAAACCGGAGGAAGGUGGGGAUGACGUCAAAUCAUCAUGCCCCUUAUGAUUUGGGCUACACACGUGCUACAAUGGACAAUACAAAGGGCAGCGAAACCGCGAGGUCAAGCAAAUCCCAUAAAGUUGUUCUCAGUUCGGAUUGUAGUCUGCAACUCGACUACAUGAAGCUGGAAUCGCUAGUAAUCGUAGAUCAGCAUGCUACGGUGAAUACGUUCCCGGGUCUUGUACACACCGCCCGUCACACCACGAGAGUUUGUAACACCCGAAGCCGGUGGAGUAACCUUUUAGGAGCUAGCCGUCGAAGGUGGGACAAAUGAUUGGGGUGAAGUCGUAACAAGGUAGCCGUAUCGGAAGGUGCGGCUGGAUCACCU